rnacentral:rRNA from 1 species
UACGGGGGGGCAAGCGUUGUUCGGAAUUACUGGGCGUAAAGGCUCGUAGGCGGCCAACUAAGUCAGACGUGAAAUCCCUCGGCUUAACCGGGGAACUGCGUCUGAUACUGGAUGGCUUGAGAUUGGGAGAGGGAUGCGGAAUUCCAGGUGUAGCGGUGAAAUGCGUAGAUAUCUGGAGGAACACCGGUGGCGAAGGCGGCAUCCUGGACCCAACACUGACGCUGAGGAGCGAAAGCC